rnacentral:rRNA from 1 species
AUUGAACGCUGGCGGCAUGCCUUACACAUGCAAGUCGAACGGCAUCGCGGGAAAGCUUGCUUUCCUGGCGGCGAGUGGCGCACGGGUGAGUAACACAUCGGAACGUACCGGCUAGUGGGGGAUAACCCGUCGAAAGACGGGCUAAUACCGCAUACGCUCUUCGGAGGAAAGCAGGGGACCUUUUGGCCUUGCGCUAGUCGAGCGGCCGAUGUCCGAUUAGCUAGUUGGUGGGGUAAAGGCCUACCAAGGCGACGAUCGGUAGCGGGUCUGAGAGGACGAUCCGCCACACUGGGACUGAGACACGGCCCAGACUCCUACGGGAGGCAGCAGUGGGGAAUCUUGGACAAUGGGGGCAACCCUGAUCCAGCAAUGCCGCGUGGGUGAAGAAGGCCUUCGGGUUGUAAAGCCCUUUCGGCAGGGAAGAAAUCGGCGGGGCGAAUAACCCUGCUGGAUGACGGUACCUGCAGAAGAAGCACCGGCUAACUACGUG